ACUUAACCCAUCGAAUGCAAUUGAGAUAAAUUGCUUAUAAGGCUACAUAAAAAAGAGACACUAUUCCAUUGAACCGAAUAAAUGUUACGACAUCGAGCGCCAAGCUUUCUAGCCCUGGACAAGAAAAAUGUUAAUAUUGACCUCUCCGAAGGCCAGUAGCCGCGGACUUGGGUCAUCGAUUCAAGACUUUGAUCACUUCGAUGUAAUUGAAAUCGAUCACUUUCGCUCUCUUAGCCAGAGGGCAUUAAUGGGUUGAGUAUAUAAAUGGUAGGAUUGACUUUCACUUCGUUGGAUUAGCUCUUUGGUUUUCUUUUCUUUUGGCUUGCUUCGAAGGUCGGAAAAUGAAGGUUCUGGCUUGUUUGCUUUUCUUUGCUCUCGUCUGCAGCUCUUUGGCUAUAAUACAUGUCGACUUAGGACACAGAUACAUCGUUCCAUCCUACAUACACAGUCACGGCUACCACGGACAUAGCUAUGGAAGCCAUCACUAUUACCCGGUCUACUCACAUAGUCACAGCUAUGGAUAUGGACAUCAUCAUCCAGCUUUAAGCAUCGGAUUCGGCAAAUGAGUUACUGAGAGAUAGAAGAAUUAUACAAGAUGCCUCUUUCUUUUCACGCCACUUGAACACUUGUAGAUAAUAACUCAAUUACAUCAAUCAAUCUAUACAAGAGAAGAAAAAAAAUGUCCAAGAGAAAACAAUACGUUGUCAACAACUAUGAAUGCAGACAUUUGAUUCAGCGCAUACUUAUGUUUUCAUCAUUUGUAUGAUGUUCUUUCAUAAAUACAGAAUAAAUAUGUGUUUUUUUUCCCACAUGUUUUGAAGAAUCUUCAGUGCUCUCCAUAUACCUCUUCCAUUAAUA